rnacentral:tRNA from 2 species
GCGGGAGUAGCUCAAUGGUAGAGCCCUGCCCUUCCAAGGCAGCCACGUGGGUUCGAUUCCCAUCUCCCGCUCCA